GGCCAUGAAGGAGAGAACCUCCUGGGGCUGUGAGUUAAGUUUAAGGACUACUUCAUGAUAGGAGCACCUCCAGGAGCCAAAAGUACCUCCACCAGAACGGGAUGGAUGAAUGAAGACACCUGGCCUGAGUUCCUUGAUCACCUGAUACAGCACACUAACUGCACCCCUGACCGUCCCAUGCUGCUUAUCCUGGAUAAUCUUAAGGCUCACAUCUCACUCAAAGCAGUAGAAAUAGCCAAGAGCAACGGUAUUUUUCUGCUCACUCUCCCUCCCCACACAUCCCAUCGCAUGCAGCCUCUCGACGUGACCCUGUAUGGCCCGUUCAAGACCCAAUACAGCCAAGCUCUUGAUGGGCGGAUGAGAUCUAACCCUGGAAAAACAGUCUCCAUCUACCAGAUUGCACGACCUGUGAAUGAGGCCUUCAUGUCAGCAGUGACACCACGCAACAUCACUUCUGGAUUUAGGUCCAAUGGGAUUUUCCCAUAUAACCGAGACAUUUUCCCUGAUGGAGCGUUUGCACCAUCCAUGGUGUCAGACCGGCCAAACCCUGAGCUGCAGCCUGCCACUGCAGAUGAUCCGGAUGGUCCACCCACUGCAGCUGGUCCACCCACUGCAGAUGGUCCACAUGGCUGUGCCCCGCCAGCUGACAGAUGUGCCACGUGUUCCCAACCGACCUGGUUGUUCCUGGCUGUCUUGGAGUUUCUGUCCCCAGUAUGCUCUGUGUGCUGAAAACUUGUGGAGACUAGUUGACAUCACGGCUGAUGGGGAGUGAGCUAUAGGAAAAACGUGCAAAAACCGUUAUUGUCUAAAGUAGAUGAAGACGACAAAUGUGCAUAAUUAUUCAAUCCCAUACCUAAGACUACCCUUCCAUGGCUGUCAAACUGCAAUGAAACAUCUGGAGGAACAAUCUUGCUGUACUGAUUUUUGAUUUUUUGGUUCCUUGCCAAGUUGUAAUGGUGGAGAAUUUUUCUUUGUAGAAAAAUGUGUGUUGAUGGGGUUGUCUGAUUUAAAAAGUUGUUGUUUUUUCUCAUCCCUGAAACAGCUGCUCCGCACACUGGCCGUUAAUAAGACCAGCAAGUUCAGGCACAAGCUCCAGCUUUCUUAGAACCUCACACUGGUCUUUGCUAUUCCCCCGGUGGAACACAUCGUUCGAAGCAAAAUACUGUGAGGAUCCAGUGAGAGGGUGACCAUCUUUGUCAGCUGGCUUUUUUUUUUAAAUUUCAUCCAAGGCAAGUUGACAUGGACCUUUCCC
ensembl:lncRNA